UGGGGUGUGGCUUAGUGGUAAAGCGCUUGCCUAGCAUGUGUGAGGCACUGGGUUCGAUUCUCAGCACCACAU
rnacentral:tRNA from 1 species